AGGUUGAACGCUGGCGGCAGGCCUAACACAUGCAAGUCGAACGGUAACAGGAAGAAGCUUGCUUCUUUGCUGACGAGUGGCGGACGGGUGAGUAAUGUCUGGGAAACUGCCUGAUGGAGGGGGAUAACUACUGGAAACGGUAGCUAAUACCGCAUAACGUCGCAAGACCAAAAAGGGGGACCUUCGGGCCUCUUGCCAUCGGAUGUGCCCAGAUGGGAUUAGCUAGUAGGUGGGGUAACGGCUCACCUAGGCGACGAUCCCUAGCUGGUCUGAGAGGAUGACCAGCCACACUGGAACUGAGACACGGUCCAGACUCCUACGGGAGGCAGCAGUGGGGAAUAUUGCACAAUGGGCGCAAGCCUGAUGCAGCCAUGCCGCGUGUAUGAAGAAGGCCUUCGGGUUGUAAAGUACUUUCAGCGGGGAGGAAGGGAGUAAAGUUAAUACCUUUGCUCAUUGACGUUACCCGCAGAAGAAGCACCGGCUAACUCCGUG
rnacentral:rRNA from 1 species